GAGUUUGAUCAUGGCUCAGGACGAACGCUGGCGGCGUGCUUAACACAUGCAAGUCGAACGGUGAAGCCUUUCGGGGUGGAUCAGUGGCGAACGGGUGAGUAACACGUGAGCAAUCUGCCCUUGACUCUGGGAUAACUUCGGGAAACCGGAGCUAAUACCGGAUAUGACACAUAGCCGCAUGGUUUGUGUGUGGAAAGAUUUAUUGGUCAAGGAUGAGCUCGCGGCCUAUCAGCUUGUUGGUGGGGUAAUGGCCCACCAAGGCGACGACGGGUAGCCGGCCUGAGAGGGCGACCGGCCACACUGGGACUGAGACACGGCCCAGACUCCUACGGGAGGCAGCAGUGGGGAAUAUUGCGCAAAUGGGCGAAAGCCUGACGCAGCGACGCCGCGUGAGGGAUGAAGGCCUCGGUCGUAACCGUACUUCUAGCAGGAAGGAAGACGAAAGUAGACGGUACCGU
rnacentral:rRNA from 1 species